rnacentral:lncRNA from 1 species
AGUGGUGCUCUGGCUCAGGAGGAAAGUCUCUCCUCAUCACGCUGUCUUCAGAGGGCAUGGGUGAAAAGCAUGGGAGGCAGCCCCUUAAUUAACUGUUAUAUAAUCCCCGCAUUGCUUUACAUGGGAGAACACCAGCUCCAGUACUUAUAUCUCUGCAGAUAAAUCAGAAACUGCACUGAAAGGGAUCAUGGUGGUAGUCAAAACAGACCUCUCCUUUGGAAAAUCUAUCAGCCAAGAAGACGGCAAUCUGGAGGUCCUCAUGGGACUUUUCUUAGCUGGUUUGCCUAGUUCAUUUUUCUUAUGCUUUAAUCUCUUGUGAAGUGAAUUGUCUCCCUCGGAGAAAACUUGCUUUGAGAACAAUAUGGUGCCUUGGCCUCUGGAUUGAACCAGGGAGUAAGCCACAUGCUGACGAGAGCCUGGGACAUGUUGUGGCAUAACCUGCUGCCUGCGGCCUGCGUUGCUCAAGCUGUGACCUGGGAGUCACCACCAGUGGAUCACAGCAUUGUUCCUGCUGCUCUGGCUGCUCUCCAAGGAAAGGAAUUCCUCCAUCAAGACUUUCCCAGGGUCCAGGCACUUGCCAGCAGCUGACCCAUCAGGAAAUCGCCUCUCCCUUCUUCCUUCCCACAUUCCUUCCUGAGCAUUCCCCAGCCCAAGCACACUGCCUUUUACUGCAAGACACAGUUCCUGUUUUAAGGAGUUUAUAGUUUCUGUGGGGAGAUAAGACAAGUGCAUGGAUAUUAGAUAGAAUGCAUUAAAUGUCAGGAACAAGGAAAAUGGCCUAAUGUGCAAUGGGAACUCAGAGCUGCCUUCUUUCAGGUCAGCUGCCUCUGAUGCCCAACAGGCCAGCAACAGGAUAGGAUUUGGAGAAACCAUGAGAGCCCCAGUUUCCUGAGCCUCAUUUGCGGUUGUGGCAGACGAUUGAGAAGAGGAAGUAUGAAUUGCAGUGAGAUGCAGUGGGAAAGAAAGAAUUCAUACCAUCAGGAUGACCUCUGCUGUUGAUGUAUUCUUGCCUACACAGGAACAUCCUGAACUUGGAAAUGGAUACUCCUUUGGGAUGCCCCUAUAUCAGCUUUAGCUGAGACCACCAGAUUUGUCUGCAUGGGAAACACUACUGUUACUCUGAUAGGCAUCAAGUUGGAUCCCUGAAGCUUCUCCAAGAUGUUUUCAAGCCACUAGGAAGUGUUUUUGCCAUCACCACAAAGAGGAGGAUGCUCCUGGGAGAUGGCAAGGAACUGUCAUUUCGCCUGUAAAAAGAGGGAGGAGAAAAAAUCAUUAGUCAGGACUGGAACAGCAGAGCAUUGUGCCAAGGAUAUGACAGCCAUCGUCGCCGGCCCAUUAGCCACCUGAUCUGCUGUCACACCAGACCUGCUCUCCAAUGAUCCUGAGAUAUCUUGCAUGGUACACAUGCUCCUGCUGCAUCAUUUCCAAAGUUCCUGCCAUAGGACUGGGAAAGAUCUUCUGGACCCUUCCUAGCAGAGCAGUAGUUGAGCCGCAGGGGAGCCCAAGAGCAGCCUGCAAGCAUGUUUCGAAGGGGUGGUCAACACGCAGAGAGCCCCAGGAACCCACUUGAGAGUCAGCUCAGGGCCCAGUGGACAUGGUGAGGAUAACUCCAACCUGGUGGAGUGGAGAGAGAGCUCCUUCUGUGAGUAUUGCUCUGAAGUUCAGAAUGUCAAGCUUAGCAAAAGCAGGUCUUUUCAAAAACCAACCCUCAUUCUUUGCAGCCACAAAGUAUUGUUUGAAAACCCAUUUUUUUAAAGCUGAGAUUUAUUCUAAUUAUAAAAUAAUCCCUAUUCUUGAGAUGCUUUUCUCUCAGAAUGUCUGUGUCAUAGGUAGGGACAGUCUAAUUAGGUUUCUCUGAAGCCCUGGCCUGGGGCAUGGCUACAUCACACAGGUGAGGAAACUUGACUGAAUGGGGCUCGUGACUCCAAUUGAGGAAGAGGACAUUUGUGUUAGCAGACUUGCUGUUCACACCUCAGUCCUCCGGAAUCCUGGGCAGCAGUGGAGCUGCUAGUACAAUGAAUGUCUGUGGGUCCCAUGUCCCACCUUGGAGCGUGCUGUUUAAUUUUCACCUACAUAGGCGCCGUUGGUUUGUAUUUCUAAAGCUGUAGUUUCUCUUCAGGCUUAAAAAUGUAUACUGCGAGGGCGUUCCUCUCAUGGCUCAGUGGAAGUGAAUCUAACUAGAUACCAUGAAGUUGUGGGUUCGAUCCCUGGCUUCACUCAGUGGGUUAGGGAUCCGGCGUUGCUGUGAGCUGUGGUGUAGGUUGCAGAGGCGGCUCAGAUCUGGCAUUGCUGUGGCUCUGGCAUAGGCUGGCGGCAACAGCUCCGAUUAGACCCCUAGCCUGGGAACCUCCAUAUGCCAUGUGUGCAACCCUCAAAAGACAAAAGACAAAAAAAAAAAUGUAUCCUGUGAAAUGAACUGAGGCCGUUUUUCUUUUCGGAAUGUGUAGCUAUUUUUUAAUAUCAUGAAGGUGUUGCUUUAAUAAUCAUGUUUACUUUUGUUUCUUGUUUUCCCCUUAUGACAACAGGCAGAGGAUUAAAUUCAGUUAUCUUAGGGAUACAAAUCAAAUAGGCAAUUAUCAAAAAA